rnacentral:rRNA from 1 species
UAGGGAAUCUUCCACAAUGGACGAAAGUCUGAUGGAGCAACGCCGCGUGAGUGAAGAAGGGUUUCGACUCGUAAAACUCUGUUGUUAAAGAAGAACAUAUCUGAGAGUAACUGUUCAGGUAUUGACGGUAUUUAACCAGAAAGCCACGGCUAACUACGUGUCAG